GACGAACGCUGGCGGCGUGCUUAACACAUGCAAGUCGAACGGAAAGGCCCUGCUUGCAGGGUACUCGAGUGGCGAACGGGUGAGUAACACGUGGGUGAUCUGCCCUGCACUUCGGGAUAGGCCUGGGAAACUGGGCCUAAUACCGGAUAGAAGCCAUUUUUAGUGGGAUGGUUGAAAAGUUUUUUCGGUGUGGGAUGAGCCCGCGGCCUAUCAGCUUGUUGGUGGGGUAAUGGCCUACCAAGGCGGCGACGGGUAGCCGGCCUGAGAGGGUGGACGGCCACAUUGGGACUGAGAUACGGCCCAGACUCCUACGGGAGGCAGCAGUGGGGAAUAUUGCACAAUGGGCGCAAGCCUGAUGCAGCGACGCCGCGUGGGGGAUGACGGCCUUCGGGUUGUAAACUCCUUUCGCUAGGGACGAAGCUUUUUGUGACGGUACCUAGAUAAGAAGCACCGGCUAACUACGUG
rnacentral:rRNA from 1 species